UCCCUAAAACUAGUGCACAUAGGUCACUAUGGCACGAAUAUUACCAUUGCAGUGCCCUAUUCCCCCCCAAAAAUAUCAUUUUCUUUAGAGAGCCUCUCUGUUUGUUAUUUAGAAGCAGUGAGAUGUGGAGUUCCUGAGUAGGCACCACGGUGACCAUUUUCCUGGAUUUGCAGCCCAGCUCCACCAUCUGUGAGCUACGUGACCUCCAAGUCUUGCUCUGUCCUCCAGGCUGGAAUACAGUGGUGCAAUCAUGGCUCACUGUAGCCUUGACAUCCUGAGCUCAAGCAAUCCUCCUGCCUCGGUCUCUCAAGUAGCUGGGACUACAGGUGCACACCACCACUCCCAG